CUACACCAGGCCGACAGCCUGGGAGGGCAGGACCCUUUCGUUCAACACACCUUGUAUCUCUUCUGCAGUAAAACCUCGUAUACCCAUGUACUUUUCUGCAGCUGAGCUAGCUUCACCAAUCAAACAGUACCCGACUUCUUUUCUACCCUGGCCCGAGACUGCAUAUGGAUCAGCCAAAAGGCAGGGAUCUACUUUCUCCCAAAAUCUCACUCCCACUCACCCCUUUGCAUGACCAUCAGGCUCGGACUUGGAGGUCGUCACAACACUUGCCACCACAGGUCUGAUUGUGGGUUAUGUUGGAGAUGGAAACUUCCACUGUAUAAUGGUCAUGUACCCCUAAUGACCAGGAUGAGGUCACUAGAGUUCACUGAGAGACUGGCCAGAAAAGCAGUGGCACUGGACGGGACAUGCACAUGGAAGCACGGGGUGGGCCUGGGCAACGAGUGUUGCUUCGUGAGGAGAUGGGACCCCUUGCCAUGGAGGUCAUGCAGGGCCUCAAGGCCACUUUGGACCCCAAUAACCUAAUGAAUCCUGGGAAGAAAUCCAAUGAAGGCGCAUGUCUGGCUCGCCCCAGCUACCAAGUCAGACGAACGCAGUGUGAGCAGAGGACAGAGAUUGAUAUGAGCUAGUAACGCUGUCAUAACCAAGUUAACAUGCAGAUGGCACAGCAUUCAUAUAUUUUUUUUAUGCUGAAUUAUUGAGAUUGUUGACAAAUGACAAUUAGCAGCCUAAAGGUAUUUCCCCAAAUAGGCCUAUUGGUUAUUGGCAUGAAUUUAUCACGCAAUUAUCAUACAACUGUUUAUUAUUGGUUCUUAAACUAUACAUUUAAAAAACAAUAAAUA